CCUGCUGAAUAUUUGAAGACCCCACUCUGUGAACCCGUGAAAGGAAAGAAGAACAAGUCAACUACCGAGCUAUGGGUGGAGAAGUUUUACAAGAAAACAACAAACCUGCCCGAACCUUUCCCACACGAAUUAGUCGAGCGAAUAGAGAAAUACUUGGAUAACCUCGAGGAACAACUUGUUGAUCUUUCAUCUUUGUUAUAUGACCAUCGGCUGCAAGAGGCACAUUUGAAUAGUUCGGACAUCCUUCAAAGCACCACGUUUACACAGCAAUACGUUGAGAACGUUUUGACUAGUGACUAGUGAGAGGGAGAGGAUGAGAUGCUGUAAUAUCGAAUUCAAGUAUCCUGUCCAUUCUUCUCAAACUUUCGUAUAUGGUGGAAUUCUUCUUGCUGGGUUCUUGGUAUAUUUCAUGGUCAUUUUCUUUUCAUCACCCCCUGGUCAAUGAUAAAAAGUCCCAAGAAAUUGCACGAAUUCCAAGGUAAGCUUGCUCUCUUAUCUUUAGGAAACCCAUCAUAGGUCGAUGAUAUACAUUUCAAAAAGAAGAAAGUUUUGUAAACUUGGGUUUCUCUGCUUGCCAAACCACAUGGCAUAGACAAAUAG